AUUGAACGCUAGCGGGAUGCUUUACACAUGCAAGUCGAACGAGUGGCGGCCGUGUGAAUAAUAUAUCGGAACGUGCCCAGUAGCGGGGUAUAACUACUCGACAGAGUGGCUAAUACCGCCUACUAUUGGAUCGGCCGAUAUCGGAUUAGCUAGUGGAGGGGGUAAAGGCUCACCAAGGCAACGAUCCGUAGCUGGUUUGAGAGGACGACCAGCCACACUGGGACUGAGACACGGCCCAGACUCCUACGGGAGGCAGCAGUGGGGAAUUUUGGACAAUGGGGGAAACCCUGAUCCAGCCAUCCCGCGUGUAUGAGAAGGCCUUCGGGUUGUAAAGUACUUUUGGCAGAGAAGCGGUAUCUGCAGAAUAAGCACCGGCUAACUACGUGCCAGCAGCCGCGGUAAUUC
rnacentral:rRNA from 1 species